AGCGGAACCCUAGAAACUGUACCUACCAGCCAGUUUGAUCACUGUAACCAGCAGUCUGUUUCGUUCGCGGUUCGAAACGGUGCAAUAACCUUGUUUUAAAGAUAUUUUAAGCCUUUAUCAUGACAUACGCAUUUUUAAUAGUUGCUACUAUAGCUAUAUCAUUCAAGUUGUUAUUUCUUGGUUUCUCGUUAGUGAUUACUUAUAAACACAGCAAAACCGAGGCUAAGACCGAUGUACAGUCAAAGCAAAUUAGCAACGACUCGUUAUGCGCAUGGAAAAGAAUUUCACGUCUUUUUGUACGAAAACUAUCCUAUAGCCCGGAAACCUACAAUAAUAUCACUGGCUUAAAAUUAUAAAAAAUACUGAAAUUGUUCAUUCAAACUUGUGAUGAUUAAAUAUGUAAAAUUAAAAAAUUAUAUAUUUAUAUUUUGCAA